rnacentral:tRNA from 6 species
UGCGGAAUUGUGUAAGGGUAGCACAGCAGACUCUGACUCUGUAUGUCUGGGUUCGAAUCCUAGUUCCGCAGCCA